ACAUAUUUAAGUAUAUCAAUACAUUAAGAAAAAUACAUUACGUUUGGAUGUUUAAUAAUGUUUUGAACGUCCUUCCCGGAAGUAAACAUUACUCCACGUGGACAGAAGAGCAGCCCACUUUUACCGUCACUCUAUCUUGGAUCCAUCAUAUGCAGGUCAAACGUGGUAUGAUGGGUCUGAGCUGUUAUUCAUAAGAAUUUCCUGGUUAUUCAUCCAGACCAUAAACCGUUUCUGGCCGUCUGUACUGUUGUAUUUAUUUCACAUAAUGAUAUAUGCUAGAGACUAGGCCCAACUGAAGCCAACAAGCUAAGCAAAAGUGAAAAAUGACUCUGAAAAGAAAAAAAAAGUUUCAGCAAUGAUAACACUAGCCUCAGGGAACUUCAGCUUGCGAGGUGGGCCUUUUUUGAUGCCACUCCAGAUUUGGACAACUGAAAAACAUAAUUAUCAUCAUAGAUUUACCUUGUUAAAAUUUAUUACCCUUAGGUAAAACUAAAUAUCUUAAUUAUUGCCAAUAAAAAAUGAAUAAAAACACUCAUUUUAUUAUUGUAUGUCAACUUUAACAUGUC